CAGUCGCCGCGGGAAUACGAAGGGGGCUAGCGUUGCUCGGAAUUACUGGGCGUAAAGGGCGCGUAGGCGGCGCUCCAAGUUAGGCGUGAAAUUCCCGGGCUCAACCUGGGGACUGCGCUUAAGACUGGAGUGCUUGAGGAUGGAAGAGGGUUGUGGAAUUCCCAGUGUAGAGGUGAAAUUCGUAGAUAUUGGGAAGAACACCGGUGGCGAAGGCGGCAACCUGGUCCAUUACUGACGCUGAGGCGCGAUAGCGUGGGGAGCAAACAGGAUUAGAUACCCCUGUAGUCCCUGUCUCUUAUCC
rnacentral:rRNA from 1 species